ACGUUAAAUGAGCCAAUGUGUUAGUUUUACCUUUCCUGAGAAUAGUCCCCGUUUAGCUCCUCAAACGUCAUUCUGAACAUCAAAUCCAAAAGUCUCUUCUGGACCAAACUCCCAGCGGCGGAACUGACAGAUAUCUCUGAACCAAAUCUUGUCUGGGCCCGGCUGUGAGGAACAGAAUUGGACUCUCUGCUCUCUUGGUCUUCACUCAGUCAGGUGACAGAGACACUGGCUAAUCUUCACCCAUAAGGCCAUUCUUGGAAAAGUCAUCCAUUGGCACUAGAGGUUAGCGUUGGUCCCAUACUCACCGCAGCCCACCACCAUGCAUCAGGGAUGCUGCUGAAUGGAGUCCCGGGCUGGUCCACCUCCACAGAGUGCAUCAGUGCAGAGAAGGU